GAUGUAGUCUUUCCUUGUGUUUGUGUCUAUGUCUCUGUGUGUGUCUGUGUGCGUGAGCAUUUCUGUGUGUAGAAACAAGAGGCAUUGCAGCUCAGAGAAUAUAAGAGCCAGAGGAAGAGAGUUGAGAUAACCCCUCCCUGGAAUCUCCCAGGAUAUAUCUGCUAGGAGGAGGGAAGGAAGGGCUCCACCUGGGAGGAUCCUCUGUAUUGUGAGUCAGGAAAUACAUCACUGAGCUCUGGCUGAAUUGCUCUUGUCCAUCCUUAGUCUUAGGCUGACAACUGAAAGCCCCUCCAGUCAUCUUAUAAAAUUUGAUUCUGAGUGGC